rnacentral:tRNA from 2 species
GGGGUAUAGCUCAGUUGGCUAGAGCGUCUGCCUUGCACGCAGAAGGUCGUCGGUUCGAGUCCGACUAUCUCC